rnacentral:lncRNA from 1 species
GAGUUGAUACUUUGCAAACAAAUGAGCAGCAGCUGCGUAAGUGGACCUGGCAGGUUUUGGUUCUCCUGGAUUCCCAGCCUCAAUUACCAAGCCACUUUCACCCCCAGACACACCACUACCUCCCCUGGCAGGAGGAAGAGAGCUGACAGGCUCAGCUUGAGUCUCCAAGGGAAUAUCGCAAAAACCCCUAGCAAUAAUGGGGCCAAGGCUGCGUCUCCAUGGGCCGGCCUACCUUGGUCCCCUGGUUCUCCCUGAAUUUCAAUGUCACGAGCAAGAAAAAGGAAAGAAACGGUCCCUACCCUCACAGCACACACCAUCCAGGAAGACUGACCCAACGAAACAUACAACAGGAGGGUAAUACUAAGUAGCAUGUGAUUCAUCCUCUUCUUCAUUCAGCCAAGGUGUCUGGCAUUUUUAUCACGUAAUGAAUAAGAGUAAGGGCUCAAUGUAAAGAUGAUUACAUCCUGUGAACUGCAGCAGCUGGAGGGAAAAAAUGAGGAUUUAGCUGAAAUAAAAAUUGCAUGGGUUUGUGACACACAGAAUGGAGGAAAAUAGAUGUCCAGGAAAAAUGAAGAUGAAAAGACUGUCCUUGUCUCCAAGAAACGCAUAAAGAAAAAGAUAAGACAGAUAUGAACUCAACUAACCAGGACAAGUCACCCUUGAAGGCGAGGACCUCCCACCCACUCUGCGUCAGGCCUGUGCUGCCCACCUUGCCCACCCAUCUGGUCUCUUUCACCCUCACCACCCUGGCUCAUAUCGCCAGGCAGAGCAGUUCAGGGCCUCCGAACUGGAUUAAAGCCACAUCGGUUCUAAGACCAGUUCGCCAUUUCCUGUGCAAUUCAGGCAAGCAACGUAACUCCUUGUGCCUCAGUUUCCCCAUCUGUGAAAUGGAAAAAACAGUGGUACUUUCUUCCUAGCGUGGUGGUUAUGAUUAAAUGAGAGAAGAACCCAUGCAAAGGGCCUGCCCUCAGGGAAAGGGCCAAUAAGCACUUGCUCCUGUUACUAAUUUUCAGGUAGGAAAAUUAAUUUUCUAUUUUACAGGCAGGAAAACUAAGGUGUUGAAAAGUGAGGGGGCUUGCAGAUCUCACAGAUAGUAGAGCUAUCAUCUGAUUUCUGGUUUGUGUGGAUGGAGGUAGAGGAGGGUUGGGGUGUGAUGGUGAUGCUUCUGGAGUUGUGUUAUUUGAUCUGAGGGCCACAGGCUGCAUAGAGAUUGGGGGCUUUGAAACGACACUCUGUGGGCCCCUAAGCUGCACUUCAGGGACCACUUUUUUUGGGGGGGUAGGGGGUUGUACCAGUAACUAGGAGAACAAGGAAGUGACUUCUCCCCUAUUUUAACCAGAAGAUGUCUUAGUUUUCUUCUGAAUUAUAGUGGAAACGUAAGUCCUCUCUUUGAGAAGAAAACAUUAAGAAGCAUAAGUUUCCUUUUAAAAAGAGAACUGAAGGACUUUCAACUCUGAUCCCGUGGUUAAGAAUCUGCCUUCCAAGGCAGGGAUCACAGGUUUGAUCCCUGAUUGGGAAACUAAGAUCCCUCACACUGUAGGUCAACUAAGCCCUUCAAAAAAUAAAAUAAAAUAAAAAAAGAGAAAUUUAUUUUGAUUAAAGAGAAUCAAGUUUGGGCUUCUCUGGUGGCUCAGACAGUAAAAGAAUCUGCCUGCAAUGCAGGAGAUGGGGGUUUGAUCCCUGGGUCAGGAAGAUCCCCUGGAGAAGGGAAUGGCAGCCCACUCCAGUAUUCUUGUCUGGAGAAUUCCAUGGACAGAGGAGCCUGGCAGCCUACAGUCCAUGGGGUCGCAUAGAGUCAGAUGCCACUGAGCAACUAACACUUUAACUAUCUGUCUCAGGCUAGUGCUCCAUCCAUAUUCCUGGUCUCCCCACUCGCGCUCCCUCACUGCCCCCCACCCAGUAAACAUUAGCCUACACACUGUAUCCCAGGCCUGAAAGGACAUGGCCAGCUAAACAUCACCUCCCAAAUAUGUUUACAUAUUAGGUAGCUGAAUAUAAACAGAUGACCUACUUCCCACACGAGAGUCCAAAAAAAAAACAAAAAAAAAACCCCACCAGGUGCCUCUGUCCAUGGAAUUCUCCAGGCAAGAAUAAUGAAGUGGGUUGCCAUUCCUUUCUUCAGGGGAUCUUCCCAACCCAGGGACUGAACCCUGGGUCUCCCAUAUUGCAGGCAGAUUCAGGUCCCUGGGUCUCCUGUAUUGCAGGCAGAUUCUUUGCUACCUGAGCCACCAGGGAAGACUGAUAACUUCUAGGGAUGCAAAUGAACUAGUAGUACAUACUCUCUUUAUUUAAUUUUUUUUCUUUGCCAUUUUUUUAAUUUCAAUUGAAGGCUAAUUACUUUACAAUAUUGUAUUGGUUUUGCCAUACAUUGACAUGAAUCAGCCAUGGGUGUACAUGUGUUCCCCAUUCUAAACCCCUCUCCCCCCUCCCUCCCCAUCCCAUCCCUCUGGGUCAUCCCAGUGCACCAGCCCUGAGCACCCUGUCUCAUGCAUCAAAUCUGGACUGGCGAUCUGUUUCACAUAUGAUAAUAUACAUGUUUCAAUGGUAUUCUCUCAAAUCAUCUCACCCUCGCCUUCUCCCACAGAAUCCAAAAGUCUGUUCUUUACAUCUUUGUCUCUUUUGCCAUCUUGCAUAUAGGGUCAUCGUCACCAUCUUUCUAAAUUCCAUAUAUAUGUGUUAGUAUACUGUAUUGGUGUUUUUCUUUCUGACUUACUUCACUCUGUGUAACAGGCUCCAAUUUCAUCUACCUCAUUAGAAUUGAUUCAAAUGCAUUCUUUUUAGUGGCUG